GGAGCUCAGUGGUGGAGCAUCGGUUUUGCAUGCAGAAGACCCCAGGUUCAAUUCCUGGCAUCUUCA